GGAGAGCUAGCUCAGUGGUAGAGCAUUCACCUCCAUUGUAGUGUGGAAGGUCUUGGGUUCGAUUCCCAAGCUCUCCC
rnacentral:tRNA from 1 species